AGUGAACGCUGGCGGUAGGCCUAACACAUGCAAGUCGAACGGCAGCACAGUAAGAGCUUGCUCUUACGGGUGGCGAGUGGCGGACGGGUGAGGAAUACAUCGGAAUCUACUUUUUCGUGGGGGAUAACGUAGGGAAACUUACGCUAAUACCGCAUACGACCUACGGGUGAAAGCAGGGGAUCUUCGGACCUUGCGCGAUUGAAUGAGCCGAUGUCGGAUUAGCUAGUUGGCGGGGUAAAGGCCCACCAAGGCGACGAUCCGUAGCUGGUCUGAGAGGAUGAUCCGCCACAUUGGAACUGAGCACGGGUCCAGACUCCGAGGGGGGGACGCAGGGGGGAAUUUGGGAAAAGGGGGGAAACCCUGACCCACCCAUACCGGGGGGGGGAAGAAGGCCUUCGGGUUGUAAAGCCCUUUUGUUGGGAAAAAAAAGCAGCAGGUUAAUACCCCGUUGUUUUGGCGGUACCAAAAAAAUAAGCAGCGGCUAACUUCGU
rnacentral:rRNA from 1 species